UACUCUUGUACUCUUGCCCUCUAUGCCCUCGCCGCCUUGUGCCAUCUUUGCCAUCGCCGCCUAGAGAAAUAUUUUCGUUGUUCUAGAAUCACCACUUUAUCUUGUUCCUCCUUUAGGUUAUCGUCAAGAUCCAUCCUUGGUUUGGUUUAUUUUGGCUCUGUCUAUCAUCUUCACUAGCCUCUGGAUCAACUAGGACUUCUAAUCGUUCCAGAGCAACUAGAAAGAGAUUCUUUAACCAGAAAGAAUUUGGUUCAGAUUGUAGAUUACCUAUCCAGAAGUUUUCGCAACUCAAUCAUAGAUGAUGAAAAAAUUUGCAGCGAGUGUACCUUGACUUUGACUUGACCUUAGCUAUAAUUAGUAUCCAGCAUAUCAGGUUUCAGGAUGAGCUAUUCCUUCUAACUCGUGUUGGAUUAUCUCAAUCAGGGCAUGAUGUCCUUUAUUUUCGAACACAUUAUGUUAUUUAUUUAUUCUAGUGUUCGAUAUUUCAAGACUUAGUAUUUUAGAAUUAGAUGUCCUUGUACUUUCAAAUUUUUGGGAACGUAUGUAAUAAACUUUAGUGGUUUUGUUAUAUCUUACUUUCAUAAGAUUGAUCUUAUGCAUUAUUAUCUUAUUUCAUAAGUUGAACAACUAAUAUAAAUUAGAAU